rnacentral:ncRNA from 1 species
GGGGCGUUUGCCGAAAAGCCCAUAGAGUAGGCC